rnacentral:rRNA from 1 species
CCUACGGGUGGCUGCAGUGGGGAAUAUUGCACAAUGGGCGCAAGCCUGAUGCAGCCAUGCCGCGUGUGUGAAGAAGGCCUUCGGGUUGUAAAGCACUUUCAGCGGGGAGGAAGGCGUUAAGGUUAAUAACCUUGGCGAUUGACGUUACCCGCAGAAGAAGCACCGGCUAACUCCGUGCCUGCAGCCGCGGUAAUACGGAGGGUGCAAGCGUUAAUCGGAAUUACUGGGCGUAAAGCGCACGCAGGCGGUCUGUCAAGUCGGAUGUGAAAUCCCCGGGCUCAACCUGGGAACUGCAUUCGAAACUGGCAGGCUAGAGUCUUGUAGAGGGGGGUAGAAUUCCAGGUGUAGCGGUGAAAUGCGUAGAGAUCUGGAGGAAUACCGGUGGCGAAGGCGGCCCCCUGGACAAAGACUGACGCUCAGGUGCGAAAGCGUGGGGAGCAAACAGGAUUAGAUACCCGAGUAGUC